AGAUGUUGUGCCAGAGUUUAUGGGUUACCUUGAUGUGGUAAUAACGGGGGUAUCCUCCAAUGUCUU